rnacentral:rRNA from 1 species
UCCUGGGGCUGCCUACAUGCGAUCGCGCGGUUCAUGAUCUAUUGUUUAUUUUUCUGACGGCGGAUGGGUACUAUGUAUAGGUAAUGCCUCUUGAGGGGACAACAGGUUGGAAACCACUGCUAAUACCGCAUGAUGUCGCAAGACCAAAGGGGGCUUCGGCUCCUGCCAGAGAGAGGCCUAAGUGAGAUUAGCUAGUUGGUGAGGUAAAGGCUCACCAAGGCGACGAUCUCUAGCUGUUCUGAAGGAAGAUCAGCCACACUGGGACUGAGACACGCCCAACUCCUACGGGAGGCAGCAGUGGGGAAUAUUGGACAAUGGGCGCAAGCCUGAUCCAGCCAUGCCCGUGUGUGAAGAAGGCCUUCGGGUUGUAAAGCACUUUCAGUGGUGAGGAAAGGUUGGUGGUUAAUACCCAUCAGCUGUACUUAGCCACAGAAGAAGCACCGGCUAACUCCGUGCCGCAGCCGCGGUAAUACGGAGGGUGCGAGCGUUAAUCGGAAUUACUGGGCGUAAAGCGCACGCAGGCGGAUUGUUAAGCUAGAUGUGAAAGCCCCGGGCUCAACCUGGGAAUUGCAUUUAGAACUGGCAGUCUAGAGUCUUGGAGAGGGGAGUGGAAUUCCACGGUGUAGCGGUGAAAUGCGUAAGAUCUGGAGGAACAUCAGUGGCGAAGGCGCUCCCUUGGCCAAAGACUGACGCUCAUGUGCGAAAGCUGGGUAGCGAACAGGAUUAGAUACCCUGGUAGUCCACGCCGUAAACCUGUCUACUAGCUGUCUGUGGCUUUAAGCCCGUGGGUAGCGCAGCAACGCAUAAGUAAACCCUGGGGAGUACGGCCCCAGUUAAACCAAAUGAAUUGACGGGGGCCCGCACAAGCGGGGGACUGUGGGUUUAAUUCCAUGCACCAAAAACCUUACUCUCUUGAAAUCCCANAAUUGUAAANAACCUUGGUGCCUUCNGGACUUGAAACGGGCUGCUGGCUCCCCUCGCGAAUUGGUAACCCACCGAACCUUUCCUUUUCCCUUAUGGCCCUAGGAACUGCGNGACCCGAGAGGGGGGACCCCAUCUGGCUCAAGGGUCCCCCUAUGGGCAAGAGCCCGGGGGGGCCUAAUUCCGGACCCCCCGGGACUUUACGGCAAGGGAAAUUCCCGCUUUCCCCCCCCCCGGGGGGGGAAAAAUUCCCCGGGGGUCCCUUUUUUGGGAAUAAACGGCCUCCAAA